AAUGAUCCGAUCAGUCUGCCAAGUUCCUGUAACUCAUCACUUUCUAUUCCCCGUGAAGUGGCAUUCCCCUACUCUGGCUGCCAAAAGCUAGUUUCUAUUUCACAGUCCCAAGGACAGUGUAAAAUCUCAUUUACUUAUUACCUGCUUCUUAGGCUAGCUGCUGCAAAACCUAUUUCUGAUUUGCACUUUGUUUCAACUAGUGUUCAGCUACUAAUAAAUUCUCUUUCUCUCUUACUCCUUUGCUCCUUCCUUUCCUCCCCCCUCUUUCCUUUCCUCCUCCCGCCCUCUUUGGGCAUAUUUCCAAGUGUGAGCAAAAAUGGGUCCCCAGCCACAUACAAUAAGCAGUGCACACUGUAUUUCAUUCUUCUUUUAGAGGAACUGAAACACAAGAUAUACAAUGGGUACUAUCUGGAGUCAAACUUGUUCGAAAAGACGGCCUAGGCACACCUGCUCUGAAGAUCUCACUAGUGUGGCUGAAGGAGCUGCCUUCCCUCCUACUCAUCAGUGCUCCUCUGAUGGACAUUACCAUCCAUGCACAUCUGAGAUACCUUAACUGGUGACACAGCUGCAGCGGGGCCUCACUUCCGUCAUGUUUUGGGCAGCAAGCAUGCACACCUAAUCAGCACAGGCAACGUGGGCCCACUAGACAGAGCUAAGAAAAAUGUGGGAGCGCCUUUACACAGUCCAGAUGUUGGGCUGGAAGAAUAAGCUCCUGAAGCUCUUAUGUUAAGCCCAGGCGAGAUUAGGUGGGUAAAUCCCAACCUUGAUCUGUUUCAGUGCAAAACCAGAUGAACUUAAACAUUUUGAAAAGUUAAUUAAAAGCCAUGAAAGGUCUUCUGCAUUUGAAUCUUAACAAGUUGAGAGAUAUGACCGUGCUCUUUAGAUAAAUGUGGAGGGGCCAAUACAAAACACUUUUUAGAAAUCCUGAAUCAAGCCUUUGAUCAGACAGGACAAACCUCACAGACCAGUCCUAAUUCACCUCUCUUUCCAUGUAUUACCUUCCAUUUUCAAGAAUGCUAUCUAAUGCUCAGCAUAGAAGAAGAAUGGGAGACACAUGCUGUGGCAAAUUAGAAUAAAGUUUAUGACCAAUAAAAUUCA
rnacentral:lncRNA from 1 species